rnacentral:rRNA from 1 species
UACGUAGGGUGCGAGCGUUGUCCGGAAUUAUUGGGCGUAAAGGGCUCGUAGGCGGUUUGUCGCGUCGGGGAGUGAAAACACCGGGCUUAACUCGGUGCUUGCUUUCGAUACGGGCAGACUAGAGUGCGGUAGGGGGAGAUCCGGGAAUUCCCGGUGUAGUGGUGGAAUGCGUAGAGAUCGGGAGGAACACCAGUGGCGAAAGCGGCUCUCUGGUCCAAAACUGACGCUGAGGGGCGAAAGCGUGGGGAGCGAACGGG